UCCAGACUCCUACGGGAGGCAGCAGUGAGGAAUAUUGGUCAAUGGCCGAGAGGCUGAACCAGCCAAGUCGCGUGAGGGAAGACGGCCCUACGGGUUGUAAACCUCUUUUGUCGGGGAGCAAAGCGAACCACGUGUGGUUCAUUGAGAGUACCCGAAGAAAAAGCAUCGGCUAGCUCCGUGCCAGCAGCCGCGGUAAUACGGAGGAUGCGAGCGUUAUCCGGAUUUAUUGGGUUUAAAGGGUGCGCAGGCGGGGGUGCAGGACAGGGGUCAAAUUGCGGGGCUCAACCCCGACGAGCCGUUGAAACUGGCUUGCUAGAGUGGGCGAGAAGUAUGCGGAAUGCGUGGUGUAGCGGUGAAAUGCAUAGAUAUCACGCAGAACUCCGAUUGCGAAGGCAGCAUACCGGCGCUCAACUGACGCUCAUGCACGAAAGUGUGGGUAUCGAACAGGAUUAGAUACCCGGGUAAU
rnacentral:rRNA from 1 species